UGGAAGUUGGCUACAGCAUGCGCUUUAGAAUUUAAAUAAAAAUUUUACUACAGACAUUCAGCUGAACACAAAAGGAUUUACUGUACCUUCCAACACAACCUGAAGAUAUUCUUUAUAAAGAUAAUUAUCCUGGUGUAUUGUACUAUUGUGUGGAGAUGUUUAAGCAUGUGGUGUUCUAGUUGACAGGAAGAUGUGUCUGCCAAAACCCAUGAGAGGCCUCUGGGGCUAAUGAUGCCGUGUUUGCAUUAACGCUGUGUUACUGUACUCUGCCAAAAGCUAAGCUAUACCUAAACAUGUGAAGGAUGUGCCAACCGCUUACUGACAGAGCUUCAGUCUUUUGUAAAUACCAGAUGUGGUUUGAACAUGUAGUUGAAUGGCUGGCUAUCUGUGUUUUAAAACACUGGACACAUUUUUUUCCUAGGGCUUAGUGAUGUUCUAAACACCCACGCUGUACAUUGAGUUUUGUAUUUCGGUUCGGAUGAACAUAAUUUUUUUUUGGAGGGGGCUUUGUAUCACUCUCUGAUGACCCCAUCCUCGUUCUUUCUACGUGCUAAAACAUUAUGGUCCAGGCCUCAUUAAAAACGCUUAAUUACUGCAAACAAUCACAGCCUUUUAGUUCCACAGUGCUCUGGACCUAUUGCGGAUCAGAAGACCGAAAAUGGCUUGGACUCUAGCAACCUUUUUGAAUGCAAAUUAUCUUAGCAGCCACGUCACCGCAGCCAAGACAAGAGCACAAUAAGUUUAAACUAUUCAUCUUCUUGUUGCCACACAACUCCUGGAAAAUGCAUAAAUCUUUCAGACGCCCCAAUCCAUUUUCAUUCAGUAGUUAUGCAAUGUAUCUGUUUUGACCAAUGUUAAUGUGGUAUUCCUGUUUAUCUUCUUCAGCAAAUAGUGAUGGUUUGGUUUAGCCAGAUCUAAUGCAGUUGGAUGUAUACGAUGGAAGUCCCAGACUUGAAUAAAAUAAUGGAGGUGAA